UGGCGGACGGGUGAGUAACGCGUGGGUAACCUGCCUUGUACAGGGGGAUAACAGUUGGAAACGGCUGCUAAUACCGCAUAAGCCCACGGUACCGCAUGGUACUGAGGGAAAAGGAUUUAUUCGCUUUAGGAUGGACUCGCGUCCAAUUAGCUAGUUGGUGAGGUAACGGCCCACCAAGGCGACGAUUGGUAGCCGGACUGAGAGGUUGAACGGCCACAUUGGGACUGAGACACGGCCCAG
rnacentral:rRNA from 1 species